rnacentral:rRNA from 1 species
GACGUAGGGGCGAGCGUUGUCCGGAUUAUUGGGCGUAAGAGCGCGUAGGCGGUCCGGAAAGUCGGAUGUGAAAACCCGGGGCUCAACCCGGCCUGCAUCCGAUACUCCCGGACUGGAGCAGGUAGGGAGAUCGGAAUUCCUGGUGUAGCGGUGAAAUGCGCAGAUAUCAGGAGGAACACCGGUGGCGAAGGCGGAUCUCUGGGCCUGUCCUGACGCUGAGGCGCGAAAGCUAGGGGAGCGAACAGG